rnacentral:rRNA from 1 species
AUUGAACGCUGGCGGCAGGCUUAACACAUGCAAGUCGAGCGGGGUGAUGGUGCUUGCACUAUCACUUAGCGGCGGACGGGUGAGUAAUGCUUAGGAAUCUGCCUAUUAGUGGGGGACAACAUCUCGAAAGGGAUGCUAAUACCGCAUACGUCCUACGGGAGAAAGCAGGGGAUCACUUGUGACCUUGCGCUAAUAGAUGAGCCUAAGUCGGAUUAGCUAGUUGGUGGGGUAAAGGCCUACCAAGGCGACGAUCUGUAGCGGGUCUGAGAGGAUGAUCCGCCACACUGGGACUGAGACACGGCCCAGACUCCUACGGGAGGCAGCAGUGGGGAAUAUUGGACAAUGGGGGGAACCCUGAUCCAGCCAUGCCGCGUGUGUGAAGAAGGCCUUAUGGUUGUAAAGCACUCUAAGCGAGGAGGAGGCUCUUUUGGUUAAUACCAAAGAUGAGUGGACGUUACUCGCAGAAUAAGCACCGGCUAACUCUGUGCCAGCCGCCGCAGUAA